rnacentral:rRNA from 1 species
CCUACGGGAGGCAGCAGUGGGGAAUAUUGGACAAUGGGGGAAACCCUGAUCCAGCGACGCCGCGUGAGUGAAGAAGUAUUUCGGUACGUAAAGCUCUAUCAGCAGGGAAGAAAAUGACGGUACCUGACUAAGAAGCCCCGGCUAACUACGGUCCAGCAGCCGCGGUAAGACGUAGGGGGCAAGCGUUAUCCGGAUUUACUGGGUGUAAAGGGAGCGUAGACGGCAGCGAGAGUCUGGAGGGAAAUGCCGGCGCCCAACCCCGGAACUGGUGUGGAAACUGUGAAGCUGGAGUGCAGGAGAGGUAAGUGGAAUUCCUGGUGUAGCGGUGAAAUGCUUAGAUAUCAGGAGGAACACCGACGGCGAAGGCGGCUUACUGGACUGUAACUGACGUUGAGGCUCGAAGGCGUGGGGAUCAAACAGGAUUAGAUACCCUAGUAGUC